rnacentral:lncRNA from 1 species
CGUUGACAAAACAUUUUGUUCAAGAACAAAGGCAAAAAAUUACAUGCGCAAAUUUUGGACCCGAAUGAAUAAUUUCUGUGAAAGACGUAUUCCGAUUAGAAAUUAUUAAUUGUAUUUUCUGUCAACCCAACUGAAAAUCACUUCGACCGAGCCUCAAUUUGGGUUAUAAAUUCAGCUCUUGUUCGAAUUGAAUCCAUCAAGGCUGAAAAAAGAUGUUAAUGUUGCAGUCUCCUGUGAAUAUCGAUUUCAUCUACUUCAUUCUAUUAUCAAUCUCUCUUUUUGUUGUUCAGUUUUCUCCUCCUGUAUCAGCUAUCAGGUACAAGAAAAUAAAAGAUCAAAUCCGUGUUUUAUUUCUAAUUUUCAUUAGACUGUAUUAUAACUUUGCGACAAGAUUUAUUUCCGGCGUGUUAGUUUGAUAAAUAUUUGAGUUCUUUUUUUUUUUAUUUCCGUUUCUGGAUUAACGUUCCUAAUUUCAUAUGCAAUUCUAAAUUGAUAGUCUAGUAUUUUGUUUGGGAGUUUCUUGAAUUUCUUUUUUUCUAUACAUCAGCCCAUUAUUUAUCUUUUAUUCCUAAUGCAAUCGUAUACACGUUUCUUGUUUUCUUAUGGAAGAUUUUGUUUUUUUUUCUUUUUCUGCUCCCCCCCCCCCCCCCCCCCCGGGUUUUGGAUUGUCAAAUUUAGUGUCAGUACGCUUGAUUUUGUAUUUUACGCAUUCUAGUAUGAAUGACAGGAAGGAUGUGAGCAUGCAAACAAAAUAUAAUUGCAGGACCACUGUUCAAGGGAGGUUCUUGCUCACUGACGAUAACGGUUUGUAAUUUCUCGAAAUUAAAAUUUUGAUGUUUCUGACCGAAAAUUAUGAGAUUUUAGUCGGGUAUAUAGCCAGCUAAUUACUAGUGGUUGUACACCAUAAUAUACAUGGCUAAUGAUAGAAUUAAUUAGAGCCACG